AUAGCCUGACAUUUAACACAGAAGUGGGAUAUGACUGUGUUCUGUAUGUCAAUCCUCAUAGAGAUGUGACACCAUUCAGUGAAGCUUUAGGUGCUGCUGCUGCUGCUGUACGAAGCCCAAACUCUUCCAUGGUGCCCAAUGCCCUCCGCGACAUCUCUACAGCUCUUCUUCCUCUGCGCUUAUAACCCCAGCAACCUCACUUCCUCCCUCCUUUGCAUCCCACCCCUUUGCGCCUGCUGUUCAGAAGGAGCCAUUCUCUUGGUCAUCUUCCCUUAGGAACUCCCAAUCCAUCUUUAGGCUCUCCCGUUUUCUCCCGGAAUCUUCCCUGACACCUAACUUAGGCUGAGAUUUCUCCUCUGUUGCUAACUCCACACCUGCCUGGAAUGCUCGUUUGAGAAGGUUGCCGAGCUCAAGGUUAAUGGGAGAGAAAGCUGUGAAUGGGGACAGUCUUGGCCAUGGAAGGCGGCUGGCGGGUGUGGAGAACUCAUCUGUGCUACCCCGGAGAAUUUUUGUGAUGAGAAGAUGUGAUCAAGAGACAUCAGUCCAGGAUCUAAACCAUGGUGGAAAUGAAGAGCAGAACAUAGUGACACAUGCUGGCCUUGUCCUGAAACCUGAUGUCCACUACUCCCACUGCUCUGAAAGAGAGAAGAUUUAAAGUCACCUUUGAUGCUCCAAGAGUAGAUCAUAGGUAUCCCAGGCCUCUGCAGGGCCUGGAAGUAGCUUGUCCUACCCUUAGAGAGCUUUUCUAACUGACUUUUUCUGACAGUGAUUUGUCAGAUGUGUAGUGAAUUCUGCAAGUCCGGGCCCCAAAGAAGUAAAAGAGUAAUUGAAGUGGAUUAACUGAUGGUCAACUUGUAACGCCCAGCUGAACUGAAUCAGCAUGGUCUGGGCGUGGAAGAUCCAUCUGAGGAUUGUUGUCAACAGCCACAAAAAGAGAACUGGAGGGAAAGAUCAUGGGUGUUGACUUUCUAGGAGAAGCCUGCUGUGAUUUUUCUGACACCAACUAGGCUGUUCAUGUCAGAGGAGGAAGUUGGGGACUUGCUGUCCCUGGGAAUGGCUGCUGUUUUUGUCAGGGGAGCUCUGAUCUUCACCGUGAGCGUCACUUCCUGACUCCAAUGUGGAUCCCUCAGCUUGGUGGCUCAAAUCCUUCAUCUCACCAACGUAGGUUUUCUGGCUUCCACCACUGGCCUUUGGACCUCCAGGUGCAGAUUCUCAAUAUGGACAAGAAUAAGACAUUGCUGUGGGCUCUAGGCCACUGGCUGGACUCAUGGCGAACAUUGCCUUGGACUCUAACCCUUUAGCUGGACUUGUGUCCAUUGCUGGGAUCCAGGCUGGAUUCUUUGGGGCCCUAGUGUGCAGUUAAUCUCUUGCACUCCUUUGCAUUUGACUUUUGGGUGAUUAUUAUAAAAUAAUCCUAUAAAUUAGGUGUCCCAGUAAGUGUAUUCUCUUGCCAAAACCCUGACUACAAUAGUAAUCGAAUGAAGUUGACUUGAUCUUGGGGCUCAGAGCCUUGAGAUGCCUGGUGAUCUCAAACCUCUGACACAGGGCUUCCCUUGCUCCAUCCUGUCACCCCUAGUCCCCAUGAAAGCCGCUUUUCACUGGCCUUUUUUCACCUUUUUUCACCUUGCCCGG
ensembl:lncRNA